UCAAGUUCAAGGUUAUCCUCAGCCAGCCUGGGCUGCAAUUGAAGCCUGAAUCACUUUACUGCCUGGCAGUAGAAGUGAGAAACAAGCAGCCUAAGCACCAAAGGAAGCCCAGCCCAACUGCGAGGUCACAGCAGCCCAGCUGCUACCAGGACUUCUAGGGCUGGGAGCACACAGAAGGGACCUCACUGAGAACCGAGUCUGUGCUGGGUAAGAAAGGAUAUUGGCAAAGGGGCUACCUGCUGUGGAAGUACCAAGUACCAAAGGUGCUUCCGAAGUGUGAGCAGCAGCAUACAAGAAAGCCCUCCAACAGCAUUUGGAGACGAGCUACACCGCAACCCAAGGAGAUCGGGAUCCCAGCUCAGCACCUGGCUGGUGAACCUGCAAGAGCAGCUUCUGGGGGUACUCAAAUGGAGGAAAAAAAAAAUCAGAAGCAUGACAGACGAGGCCCUCUAACAAAGUGUAACAGAGCUACACUCUAUAGAGAUGCUCCAAGAUGCUCUUCAGACAAGAGCUGACUGAAUAAAGAUGUGCCCGCUGCACAUGUUGUUCAUGAAGCCAGGUUCUUAAAUUAUGAAUAAUGGACACAAGAUGCAAACAGCACAGCAUCCCAGAGGAGAUGAGAAAUAUUUAAAAUGCCAAGAAAACAAACAAGAAAACCCAAAACACCCUCUUCCUCUGUGAAGCUAGAAACAAACUUCACAAUAAGCAGCCAGAAUUUGUCAGUAGCUCUAAAGAAAACAGAGAUGCUGAACAUGAAUAAGUGUUUGUGCCAGCCCAGCUCCUGGAAGCACCAGCAACAGCACAUUUCAGCAGACUCGCUGCUCCUAACAUCAGGAGGAGGUGUGAUGGAAGCACAGUCAAAACCAGACAGCUUUGGCUAAUACAGCUGAUUAGCCUGCCCACCAUGUCACAGCCACAUCUGAAGUGCUUUCAGUAAUAGUGACGAUAAACAGUGCGAAGGGCAACACC